GACGAACGCUGGCGGCAUGCCUAAUACAUGCAAGUAGGACGAGUUGCGAACGGUUGAGUAACGCGUGGUAACCUACGUAUUAGAGGGGGAUAACUAUUGGAAACGAUAGCUAAUUCCGCAUACUUGUAGAUGGACCUGCGUUGUAUUAGCUAGUAGGUAGGGUAAUGGCCUACCUAGGCAACGAUACAUCGCCGAUCGGAGAGGGUGAUCGGCCACACUGGGACUGAGACACGGCCCAGACUCCUACGGGAGGCAGCAGUGGGGAAUAUUGCACAAUGGGCGCAAGCCUGAUGCAGCCAUGCCGCGUGUAUGAAGAAGGCCUUCGGGUUGUAAAGCACGUUCAGCGGGGAGGCGUUACCCGCAGAAGAAGCACCGGCUAACUCCGUGCCAGCAGCCGCGGUAAUAC
rnacentral:rRNA from 1 species